CCUACGGGGUGCAGCAGUGAGGAAUAUUGGUCAAUGGACGCAAGUCUGAACCAGCCAUGCCGCGUGCAGGAAGACGGCUCUAUGAGUUGUAAACUGCUUUUGUACGAGGGUAAACGCAGAUACGCGUAUCUGUCUGAAAGUAUCGUACGAAUAAGGAUCGGCUAACUCCGUGCCAGAAGCCGCGGUAAUACGGAGGAUUCAAGCGUUAUCCGGAUUUAUUGGGUUUAAAGGGUGCGUAGGCGGUCGGAUAAGUUAGAGGGGAAAUCCCGAGGCUCAACUUCGGAAUUGCCGCUGAUACUGUUCGGCUAGAGAGUAGUUGCGGUAGGCGGAAUGUAUGGUGUAGCGGUGAAAUGCUUAGAGAUCAUACAGAACACCGAUUGCGAAGGCAGCUUACCAAGCUACUUCUGACGUUGAGGCACGAAAGCGUGGGGAGCAAACAGGAUUAGAUACCCUAGUAGUC
rnacentral:rRNA from 1 species